rnacentral:rRNA from 1 species
UACGUAGGUGACAAGCGUUGUCCGGAUUUACUGGGCGUAAAGAGCUCGUAGGCGGUUUGUCGCGUCUGCCGUGAAAGUCCGGGGCUCAACUCCGGAUCUGCGGUGGGUACGGGCAGACUAGAGUGAUGUAGGGGAGACUGGAAUUCAUGGUGUAGCAGUGAAAUGCGCAGAUAUCGGGAGGAACACCAAUGGCGAAGGCAGCUCGCUGGGACGGUACUGACGCUGAGACGCGAAAGCGUGGGGAGCAAACAGGG